AUUGAACGCUGGCGGCGGGCCUAACACAUGCAAGUCGAACGAGUGGCGGACGGGUGAGUGAUGUCUGGGAAACUGCCUGAUGGAGGGGGAUAACUACUGGAAACGGUAGCUAAUACCGCAUAACACCGUAUGUGGCGAGAGGGGCUUAGCUAGUGGGGGGGGUAAAGGCUCACCUGGGCGACGAUCCCUAGCUGGUCUGAGAGGAUGACCGGCCACACUGGAACUGAGACACGGUCCAGACUCCUACGGGAGGCAGCAGUGGGGAAUAUUGCACAAUGGGCGCAAGCCUGAUGGAGCCAUGCCGCGUGUAUGAAGAAGGCCUUCGGGUUGUAAAGUACUGUCGGCGGGGAGGCGUUACCCACAGAAGAAGCACCGGCUAACUCCGUGCCAGCAGCCGCGGUAAUAC
rnacentral:rRNA from 1 species